GUGUUUUCUUUGGCAGCACAUAUACUAAAAUUGGAAUGAUAAAGGGAAGAUCAUUGUGGCCCCAUGCAAGGAUGACAUGCAAAUUAGUGAAGUGUUCCACAUUUUU